GGGCCCGCACAAGCGGUGGAGCAUGUGGUUUAAUUCGAUGAUACGCGAGGAACCUUACCAGGGCUUAAAUGUAGAGCGACAGAGGUGGAAACACCUCCUUCUUCGGACGGUCUACAAGGUGCUGCAUGGUUGUCGUCAGCUCGUGCUGUGAAGUGUCGGGUUAAGUCCCAUAACGAGCGCAACCCCUAUUUCUAGUUGCCAGCGGUUCGGCCGGGGACUCUAGAGAAACUGCCAGCGUAAGCUGUGAGGAAGGUGGGGAUGACGUCAAAUCAUCACGGCCCUUACGUCCUGGGCCACACACGUGCUACAAUGGUGGAGACAGAGAGUUGCCAACCCGCGAGGGUGAGCUAAUCUUCAAACUCCAUCUCAGUUCGGAUAGGAGUCUGCAACUCGACUCCUUGAAGUUGGAGUCGCUAG
rnacentral:rRNA from 1 species